rnacentral:rRNA from 1 species
UACGGAGGGUGCGAGCGUUGUCCGGAAUCACUGGGCGUAAAGGGCGCGUAGGCGGUCUGCUAAGCGUGUGGUGAAAGCUCGGGGCUCAACCCCGAGUCUGCCAUGCGAACUGGUGGACUGGAGCACUGUAGAGGCAGGUGGAAUUCCGGGUGUAGCGGUGGAAUGCGUAGAGAUCCGGAAGAACACCGGUGGCGAAGGCGGCCUGCUGGGCAGUUGCUGACACUGAGGCGCGACAGCGUGGGGAGCAAACAGG